UGGGGAAUUGUUCGCAAUGGGCGCAAGCCUGACGACGCAACGCCGCGUGGAGGAUGAAGGUCUUCGGAUUGUAAACUCCUGUCGAACGGGACGAACACCUUCCGGGUUAAUACUCCGGGAGGCUGACGGUACCGUGAGAGGAAGCCCCGGCUAACUCUGUGCCAGCAGCCGCGGUAAUACAGAGGGGGCAAGCGUUGUUCGGAAUUACUGGGCGUAAAGGGCGCGUAGGCGGCCCUCUAAGUCAGACGUGAAAUCCCUCGGCUCAACCGGGGAACUGCGUCUGAGACUGGAAGGCUUGAAUUCGGGAGAGGGAUGUGGAAUUCCAGGUGUAGCGGUGAAAUGCGUAGAUAUCUGGAGGAACACCGGUGGCGAAGGCGGCAUCCUGGACCGAGAUUGACGCUGAUGCGCGAAAGCCAGGGGAGCAAACGG
rnacentral:rRNA from 1 species